rnacentral:rRNA from 1 species
UACGUAGGUGACGAGCGUUGUCCGGAUUUACUGGGCGUAAAGAGCGCGCAGGCGGUCGUUCAAGUCGAGUGUGAAAGCCCCCGGCUCAACUGGGGAGGGUCAUUCGAUACUGAUCGACUCGAAGGCAGGAGAGGGUAGUGGAAUUCCCGGUGUAGUGGUGAAAUGCGUAGAUAUCGGGAGGAACACCAGUGGCGAAGGCGACUACCUGGCCUGUUCUUGACGCUGAGGCGCGAAAGCUAGGGGAGCAAACAGG